rnacentral:rRNA from 1 species
GACGAACGCUGGCGGCGUGCUUAACACAUGCAAGUCGAACGGAAAGGCCCCUUUGGGGGUACUCGAGUGGCGAACGGGUGAGUAACACGUGAGUAACCUGCCCUUGACUUCGGGAUAACUUCAGGAAACUGGGGCUAAUACCGGAUAGGAAUCCUUGCUGCAUGGUGGGGGUUGGAAAGCUUCGGCGGUUUGGGAUGGACUCGCGGCUUAUCAGCUUGUUGGUGGGGUAGUGGCUUACCAAGGCUUUGACGGGUAGCCGGCCUGAGAGGGCGACCGGCCACAUUGGGACUGAGAUACGGCCCAGACUCCUACGGGAGGAAGCGGUGGGGAAUAUUGCACAAUGGGCGGAAGCCUGAUGCAGCAACGCCGCGUGCGGGAUGACGGCCUUCGGGUUGUAAACCGCUUUCGCCGGGGCCGAAGCUUGUGUUGCGGUUACUGGCAAAGAAGCACCGGCUAACUACGUG